rnacentral:SRP_RNA from 1 species
GCCAGGCAUGGUGGCGGGCGCCUGUAAUCCCAGCUACUCAGGAGGCUGAGGCAGGAGAAUUGCUUGAACCCGGGAGGUGGAGGUGCAGUGAGCCAAGAUUGUGCCACUGCACUCCAGCCUGGGUGACAGAGUGAGACUCUGUCUCAA